UACGGGAGGCAGCAGUGGGGAAUCUUGCGCAAUGGGCGAAAGCCUGACGCAGCAACGCCGCGUGCGGGAAGAAGGCCCUCGGGUUGUAAACCGCUUUCAGAAGGAACGAAACUGACGGUACUUUCAGAAGAAGGUGCGGCCAACUACGUGCCAGCAGCCGCGGUGACACGUAGGCACCAAGCGUUGUCCGGAUUUAUUGGGCGUAAAGAGCUCGUAGGCGGUUCGGUAAGUCGGAUGUGAAAACUUUGGGCUCAACCCAAAGCGUGCACUCGAUACUGCCAUGACUAGAGUUCGGUAGGGGAGUGGGGAAUUCCUAGUGUAGCGGUGAAAUGCGCAGAUAUUAGGAGGAACACCGGUGGCGAAGGCGCCACUCUGGGCCGAAACUGACGCUGAGGAGCGAAAGCGUGGGUAGCAAACAGGAUUAGAUACCCUGGUAG
rnacentral:rRNA from 1 species